CAGUUGAUCUGCCUUCGGAGGUUUCCUUAGCUGACUGUCCAAACUCUUUCUUGCGAUCUCAGAACAGCUACAAGCUCUAUGCUCAUCAUCUGUAGCUAUAGUUUCAGAUUGGCUGGGUAAAGUUCAAGGUUACAGUGGCCACCACCAUCUAUCCAAAGAGGGUCAUAUUUGUUUUUGCUAAGCUCCCAAAGCUGCUUCCCGUGCAACCAAUCUACAACUUCAUCUGCAGUACCCUUCCAGAAGGAUGUAAACAAGGCGAUGGUUAUUUUUCUAGAUCCACCAAAAACGUUCAGAAAAGACAACAUAUCAUAUUGGUAACUAAGCCUUUUACUGCUGUCACAGUUAUGUAUGGUAGUUCAUCUAUUAGAUUAAAAUAACAAAUCAGUGAUAGCUGCAAUGACCUACAAAGUUUUAUCUGGAGCAUGGACAUUAGAUAGUUUUGAAUUAUGAAAUUUAUGGGUUUAUCUGGGGAAUCAUUUUCUUUUGCACAUUGUAUGUGUCUUGCUGCUUUAUAGUGUCAUUGCAUUAAGUAAAAUUAAUUAUUCUCGAGUG